rnacentral:rRNA from 1 species
ACUCCUACGGGAGGCAGCAGUGGGGAAUAUUGCACAAUGGGCGCAAGCCUGAUGCAGCGACGCCGCGUGGGGAUGACGGCCUUCGGGUUGUAAACCUCUUUCAGUACCGACGAAGCGCAAGUGACGGUAGGUACAGAAGAAGCACCGGCCAACUACGUGCCAGCAGCCGCGGUAAUACGUAGGGUGCGAGCGUUGUCCGGAAUUACUGGGCGUAAAGAGCUCGUAGGUGGUUUGUCGCGUUGUCCGUGAAAUCCCACGGCUUAACUGUGGGCGUGCGGGCGAUACGGGCAGACUGGAGUACUGCAGGGGAGACUGGAAUUCCUGGUGUAGCGGUGGAAUGCGCAGAUAUCAGGAGGAACACCGGUGGCGAAGGCGGGUCUCUGGGCAGUAACUGACGCUGAGGAGCGAAAGCGUGGGGAGCGAACAGGAUUAGAUACCCUGGUAGCUACGA